CGCCUGUUUAACAAAAACAUGUCCUUUUGUGUUUAAUUUAAGGUCUUACCUGCCCAGUGAUUUAUUUAACGGCCGCGGUAUACUGACCGUGCAAAGGUAGCAUAAUCAUUAGUCUUUUAAUAGAGGGCUGGAAUGAAAGGUUUAACGAGGAAUAUACUGUCUCAUUUUAUUUGUUUUAAAAUUUAAUUUUUUGGUUAAAAAGCUAAAAUUUUAUUGGAAGACGAGAAGACCCUAUAGAUCUUUAUAUAAUUAUUUUUAAUUUAUUUUUAUAAUAUUUUAAUUAUUAGUGAUUAUAUUUUGUUGGGGUGACAAAAAUAUAAAUAUAACUUUUUUAUUUAAAUAACAUUGAUUAAUGAUUAAAUGAUCCAUUAUUAGUGAUUAUUAGAUUAAGUUACCUUAGGGAUAACAGCG
rnacentral:rRNA from 1 species